AACGAACGCUGGCGGCAUGCCUAACACAUGCAAGUCGAACGAGGCCUUCGGGUCUAGUGGCGCACGGGUGCGUAACGCGUGGGAACCUGCCCUUAGGUUCGGAAUAACUCCCCGAAAGGGGUGCUAAUACCGGAUAAUGUCUUCGGACCAAAGAUUUAUCGCCUUUGGAUGGGCCCGCGUUGGAUUAGCUAGUUGGUAGGGUAAAAGCCUACCAAGGCGACGAUCCAUAGCUGGUCUGAGAGGAUGAUCAGCCACACUGGGACUGAGACACGGCCCAGACUCCUACGGGAGGAAGCAGUGGGGAAUAUUGGACAAUGGGCGAAAGACUGAUCCAGCAAUGCCGCGUGAGUGAUGAAGGCCUUAGGGUUGUAAAGCUCUUUUACCCGGGAUGAUAAUGACAGUACCGGGAGAAUAAGCUCCGGCUAACUCCGUG
rnacentral:rRNA from 1 species